rnacentral:rRNA from 1 species
CGACCGGCGCACGGGUGAGUAACACGUAUCCAACCUGCCGUCUACUCUUGGACAGCCUUCUGAAAGGAAGAUUAAUACAAGAUGGCAUCAUGAGUCCGCAUGUUCACAUGAUUAAAGGUAUUCCGGUAGACGAUGGGGAUGCGUUCCAUUAGAUAGUAGGCGGGGUAACGGCCCACCUAGUCUUCGAUGGAUAGGGGUUCUGAGAGGAAGGUCCCCCACAUUGGAACUGAGACACGGUCCAAACUCCUACGGGAGGCAGAUG